UGGGGAUUAGCUCAGUGGUAGAGCAGGCUCUUGAUAAGGGUCAGGUCGCUGGUUCGAAUCCAGCAUCCCCAACCA
rnacentral:tRNA from 1 species